UACGUAGGGGGCAAGCGUUGUCCGGAUUUAUUGGGCUUAAAGGGCGCGUAGGCGGGCUGCCAAGUCCGGGGUGAAAUCCUCUGGCCCAACCAGAGAACGGCCUCGGAUACUGGCGGCCUGGAGGGGGGUAGGGGCGAGCGGAACUGUGGGUGGAGCGGUGAAAUGCGUUGAUAUCCACAGGAACUCCGGUGGCGAAGGCGGCUCGCUGGACCCCACCUGACGCUGAGGCGCGAAAGCCAGGGGAGCGAACGGG
rnacentral:rRNA from 1 species